CAGCUUUCUUACCCGUGUGUGUGUGCUGUGUCCUUGUUUUCUCCGUUGAGAGUGGGCACGCACAGCACAGCAGCAACACCUCCAGGCUCCAAUGGCGUCCUCCUACAAGAUGAAGGGAUGGUGUCUUUGGAGGCAUAGAAACUCGGUGGUCUUUGAUGGAGCGCCUCCUAGAAUCGAUCAGGUUCUUCGGGUUAUUAGAAGAGAGGGCAGUGCUUGGGCUAAGGUGGCGCUUUUCAAAGGGGCUAACUUUGGGUUUGGUAGCUUUGUGGUUUCGUGGUGGGUUGUAAGUGAGUAGUCGCUUGUUUGUGGCCUAUGGGCUUGUAACCGCGUCGCGGUAACUCCUUCUUCAAUAUAUAAUACACAUACUGUGUAUUCUAGAAAAAAAAAAGGGAUCUUCGAGAGCUUCAAGAUCAUAUCGCAGAUCUUCGGUGAGCAGAAAUAGCUCCGGUGUUUCAGUUUCUGAAUUCGACUGUACUGGUGAAGAGAACAGGACAGGGACAGGGACAGUGCAGUGCAGUUCAGGGCCUCCUGAUCUUUGCUCGUUUAUCUGAAUUGUUCGAUUGUUGCAUUGCAGCGGCCAAGGAGGAGCAGGGGAUGGAGAUCGGCUCCCCAACGGACGUGAAGCACGUCGCGCACAUCGGCUGGAACAGCUCGACGCUGCCGCCGGCAACCAAAGGGUUUUCUUCGUAGAUGGAUGGCUCAGCCCUGGGAAUAUCAUGCGAUUUUUCGUCUCUGGGCAACUUGGCGCCGUCGGCAGCGGCGGCAACCUCCUGGGCUUCUUCCCAAGCAUGGAAGGCAUUCAACUGUCUUGACGGGAAACGGGUCGCAUGCAGCUGUUCGUGGUGUUGGUACGGUCGAUCUGAAGUUUACUUCGGGGAAGAUCGUGCGGCUAAGGAACGUGAUGCAUGUCCCCUCCAUGAACAAGAAUCUCGUUAGCGGUUCCCUUUUAUGCAGAGAAGGUUUUAAGGUAGUUUUAGAGUCUAAUAAAGUAGUUGUGUCUAAACAUGGAAAAUUUAUUGGUAAAGGUUAUGAGUGCGGAGGCUUGUUCCGUUUUUCCCUUUCUGAUUUUAGUGAUAUGUCAGUAUUUAGGUCGGAUCGUGGUGGCGAGCAUUUCUCCAAUGUAUUUGAUGAGUUUUGUGCAGAACAUGGUAUUAUUCACG